CCGUUCGUAGCCCGCCGUUCGUGCUCUCUCUUUUCAGAAAGGUUGUGAGGCUGUCUAUUACGCCGGUUUUGACUGUGAUUUCACAGAAGCAAAAGGGGGCUCUGAGAGAAGCUUACAAGAAGAAGAAGUACCUGCCACUCGAUCUGCGUCCCAA